rnacentral:rRNA from 1 species
CAAGAACGAACGCUGGCGGCAUGCCUAACACAUGCAAGUCGAACGAGACCUUCGGGUCUAGUGGCGCACGGGUGCGUAACGCGUGGGAACCUGCCUUUAGGUUCGGAAUAACUCAGAGAAAUUUGAGCUAAUACCGGAUAAUGUCUUCGGACCAAAGAUUUAUCGCCUUUAGAUGGGCCCGCGUUGGAUUAGCUAGUUGGUGGGGUAAAGGCCUACCAAGGCGACGAUCCAUAGCUGGUCUGAGAGGAUGAUCAGCCACACUGGGACUGAGACACGGCCCAGACUCCUACGGGAGGCAGCAGUGGGGAAUAUUGGACAAUGGGCGAAAGCCUGAUCCAGCAAUGCCGCGUGAGUGAUGAAGGCCUUAGGGUUGUAAAGCUCUUUUACCCGAGAUGAUAAUGACAGUAUCGGGAGAAUAAGCUCCGGCUAACUCCGUG